CGCAUCUGUGCAUGCAGCAUAUCAAUAAGCGGAGGAAAAGAAACUAACAAGGAUUCCCCUAGUAACGGCGAGUGAAGCGGGAAGAGCUCAAAUUUGAAAUCUUAAAGGGUUUCCCUUUACGAAUUGUAGUUUAAAGAAGUGUUUUCUGUUGAGGUUUUGGUAAAAGUUCUUUGGAAUAGGACAUCAUAGAGGGUGAGAAUCCCGUAUUUGACCUUUACUUUCAGCUUUGUGAUACACUUUCAAAGAGUCGGAUUGUUUGGGAAUGCAGUCCAAAAUGGGUGGUAAAUUUCAUCUAAAGCUAAAUAUUGGCGAGAGACCGAUAGCGAACAAGUACCGUGAGGGAAAGAUGAAAAGAACUUUGAAAAGAGAGUUAAACAGUACGUGAAAUUGUCAAAAGGGAAGCGUUUGACACCAGUGUUGUUUUUCUGAAAAUCAAUUAAAGAACUGUUUAUGCUAAGUUGUUUAGACUUUAUCAGCUAACUGUUUAGUUUUGAGCUUUUCUUUAAUGCACUUUUCAGUUAACAAGUCAACAUCAAUUUCUUUUGCUGUAAAAAAGCUUGAGGAAGGUGGCUUGAGAUUCGUCUUAAGUGUUUAUAGCCUCUUGCCUAUGCAGUCGGAGAGAUUGAGGUCUGCAGCGUAGAUCCUUCGGGGCUAAAUGCAUUUGUGCUAAGUUAUAGCAUUUUAUAGACAACUUGUUGACUAUGAUUUGUCUUGUAGCUUACUCGCUUAUGUUAUUUUACCUACGCUUAGGAUGUUGAACGCGCACAGAGUCUC
rnacentral:rRNA from 1 species